AGCAGAUCUCUGGCUCUUGCUUAGUGAGAGAAGCCUGGCAGCUCAGUUGGGUUCUGAUAGACAGAGCCUCCCUGAGGGAAGGUGGUGUCCAUAUCAUCAUUUGACAUGGAAGUCAUGCUGAUGGCAUCCUUAAAGCAUGUCCUAAAUAUGUCAAUUGUCAUCUUCCCAUGUGGGAUACUUAAGUUUUCCAAGGCUGUACAAACUAUGAAAGGUCAUGGAAACUGGCUCUACAGCUUGAUGCCUGAUACUGGGGGAAAUCAGCUUGCAAAACACACGCACUCUGAAUAUCCGAUUGUUGUCAAGAAGUUUGGAGAGAAGAAGCUCAUAUAAACAAGCUCCUCAUUUUCCUUCUUACAGGAGGGGGCUGCUAAGGGCAAAGGAAGCCCUGUCAACUUGAUUCCAUGAUGGUAGGGAGAGAGCCACUGGAGGGUUAAGGAGCAGAGUGGAGGUCAGAAGUUCCUGAGUGGAUGUUCUUGGCCUCCGGUGGAUCACAAAGACCUGGAAAUAUUUGGAAGUUGGAACACUUUGUCCUUACACUGAGUGGAGCAGACACCACUCCCUAAAAUGAACUAGAGGUGGUGGAAAAUUUUCAGAUCUCAAAGUUUUUCAACAAAACAGUGGGACAUAUUUUUCAAACAUUAGGAAAUAAAGAGAUGAUUGUUCCUAGA